UCCUCGAACGGACAAAAGAAAGAAGUACCUGAGUCGGGGAAUAGAUGGGGAUAACGGCUCCGCAUAUCAUACUCGGACUCCCAGGUCGAUGCCUCAGGAGGCUGAACUAUCCACUGAACACGCACUGAAGGGAAACUCCGCGAACUCAACUGUCGAAUCUGUCGGUCUAAAAUAGCACCCCGCUCCUCCUCAUAUAACAGAUCCUUGUCCAAUUGGACAGUGCUGAAAUUUAACACAUGAGUGGGAUCACCGUGAUACUUCCGAAGCAUGGAUACAUG
rnacentral:lncRNA from 1 species